rnacentral:lncRNA from 1 species
UUUUAUUAACAAAUUCACCGUAAGUUCAGAACAAUUAAAAGUGAUGUUUGAAAGCCAAUAUGUUACUUAUGAUAAAUCAAAACUUGGCUUGACUUCUUUACUUAACAAUAAAUCUCUAGAGAAAAAGGUUAUUAAUUCACCAAACAAACCAUUAAAUAAGAUAACUUAUUUCAAAAAUAAAAAGGAUGGGAAUAACAACUUUACCUAUCGUUCUAGUAUAAUUAAAUCAAAUGGUAAAGUUAUUACUAUUAAACAGAUAUGGGUUCCAAAAGGAACCAUAUGUCCUAACUCUCAAGGACUCAAGCAAGCUUGGGUACCCAAAAUGAGAAAAUGAGGAUGUACACAAAGGUGUACCAAGGUACCCAUGGAAUAUAAAGAAACUUAAAAAGUUAUUAACAAAAAAAAAUAAUGAAAUCAGUAAUUCUUGCAUCUCAUCAUUAUUUGUGUUUUAGUAUCUGAUAUGAUUUGCUAGUAGUGAUCAAUUUUGUGAUAUAGAAAAUACUUUUGGAAAUAUAAUCAAAUCAUUUCAUUUUACUCACUAUUGGAUAAGGUGCUAAAUGAUUAAUCAACUUAUUAAGAAUAACUCUAUGAAUUC